rnacentral:rRNA from 1 species
AGUUUGAUCCUGGCUCAGAACGAACGCUGGCGGCAGGCCUAAUACAUGCAAGUCGAGCGCGUGUAGCAAUACACGAGCGGCGGACGGGUGAGUAACACGUGGGAACAUGCCUAUCGGUUCGGAAUAACGCAGGGAAACUUGCGCUAAUACCGAAUGCGCCGGAAACGGGAAAGAUUUAUCGCCGAUAGAUUGGCCCGCGUUGGAUUAGCUGGUUGGUGAGGUAACGGCCCACCAAGGCGACGAUCCAUAGCUGGUUUGAGAGAACGAUCAGCCACACUGGGACUGAGACACGGCCCAGACUCCUACGGGAGGCAGCAGUAGGGAAUCUUGGACAAUGGGGGAAACCCUGAUCCAGCCAUGCCGCGUGAGUGAUGAAGGCCUUCGGGUUGUAAAACUCUUUCGACGGGGACGAUAAUGACGGUACCCGUAGAAGAAGCUCCGGCUAACUUCGUGCCAGCAGCCGCGGUAAUACGAAGGGGGCUAGCGUUGUUCGGAAUUACUGGGCGUAAAGCGCGCGCAGGCGGCCUUCCAAGUCAGGGGUGAAAUCCCAGAGCUCAACUCUGGAAUUGCCUCUGAGACUGUGAGGCUUCGAGUACGGGAGAGGUGAGUGGAAUUCCCAGUGUAGAGGUGAAAUUCGUAGAUAUUGGGAAGAACACCGGUGGCGAACGCGGCUCACUGGCCCGUUACUGACGCUC